rnacentral:rRNA from 1 species
GACGAACGCUGGCGGCGUGCUUAACACAUGCAAGUCGAACGGGUCUGCCCUGUUUUUUGCGGGGUGGGUCAGUGGCGAACGGGUGAGUAACACGUGAGUAACCUGCCCCUCACUUCUGGAUAACCGCUUGAAAGGGUGGCUAAUACGGGGUGUUCUGGCUGUGCCGCAUGGUGUGGCUGGGAAAGAUUCACUUUUGUGGUGUUUUGGUGGGGGAUGGGCUCGCGGCCUAUCAGCUUGUUGGUGGGGUGAUGGCCUGCCAGGGCUUUGACGGGUAGCCGGCCUGAGAGGGUGGGCGGUCACACUGGGACUGAGAUACGGCCCAGACUCCUGCGGGAGGCAGCAGUGGGGGGUAUUGCACAAUGGGCGGAAGCCUGAUGCAGCGACGUCGCGUGAGGGAUGGAGGCCUUCGGGUUGUGAACCUCUUUCGCCGGUGAAGAAGGUCCUGCUCUUUGUGGUGGGGUUGACGGUAGCCGGGUUAUGAAGCGCCGGCUAACUACGUG